UACGUAGGGUGCGAGCGUUAAUCGGAAUUACUGGGCGUAAAGCGUGCGCAGGCGGUGAUGUAAGACCGAUGUGAAAUCCCCGGGCUUAACCCUGGGAACUGCAUUGGUGACUGCAUUGCUGGAGUAUGGCAGAGGGGGGGUGGAAUUCCACGUGUAGCAGUGAAAUGCGUAGAGAUGUGGAGGAACACCGAUGGCGAAGGCAGCCCCCUGGGCCAAUACUGACGCCUCAUGCACGAAAGCGUGGGGAGCAAACAGG
rnacentral:rRNA from 1 species